ACCGUUUUAUUACCUAAUGGCGUGACUUGAUGGGAAGCAAAAACGGAAAAACUUGGGGAUUGUGUUGCAACGACUGAAUUCUUGACACUCUUUUGCACUCGAUGACCAUGAUACUCACUGAAGUCAAUUUCUGUAAUUGUUCCGCCACUAAACUGUGUAUGUGCUGUGUGGGAUGCUCUGUUGACUCCACCGAGAAAAGGUGUGUUGUCAAAGCCCAGAUUUUCUUGUUCCUCGUUAGACAAGGUGACAUUCUGUUUAUGGGUGUGUCUGCGUAGUUUGUGUACCUGCUGACUUGUUGCAUAUUUGUUUAUAGUUCACUCAGACUGCCACCAUUACUCAGGUACUGUAUAUUACAAUUUGGUGAGUGGGUAGCAGCUCACUGUCACCUCACUGUCAAGUCUGCCCUCGCCAUCUGCAUUCUCACUCCUCCUCUCCAUGAUGUCAAAGCUUGACAGCUGUGUUUGGACCCUGGAUGAGUAGGAAAGGGGUGUGUGUUUGUUUUCCUUCGCCAGAGCAGUUUCACAAGUGGGUGGAGAGGAGUGGAUCUAUAUGGGUUUGACAAACGCACUUUCCUCAACUACAUAACAAACCUUUGUGACUCAACUGCUGUGACAGAAGAUGGAACAUUGAAAUAGUUUUUAAUUCAUUUUAUAGGGUCUGUUUGGAUUAAUUUCAAUAGAGCCAUUGAUAGUGGAGUGGUUGGUUCACGUAGCUGAUUAUCCUGCAACUGGUCUGGGAUCAGCUCCCAAUCAGUGGCUCAUUCACAUUCACCCUGUGAUGGACAGGUUAUCAGUCCUGGGUUUAAAGUUUGGAUUUGACUGUAAAUCAUCUGGGACUAGACUCCAGCUCAUCUGUAACCUUGAACAGGAUAAGAUGUUGAAAAUGGAUGGAUGGAUAGUGUCAUGACAAAAAGGGUCACAUGCUAGGUGUCUAAUUGCGUAAUGAUGACCUAUUAAAGUAGACAGAGCAGUACACAGAUUUACGGCACUGAAGAAAAGAAAACACAUUGAAGUCUUGUUGGCAUAAAUUCAUGAAUAAGGUGUGUUGACAUUUGAGUCACACGCUGAAUAGAUAUUUUUUUAAAUGUGAAGUUUUUCCUUCCCAUCUGUGUUUUUAAAUCAACUUUGAAAAUCUUUAUAUUCAAGUUUACAUCCAAUAUCAAAAAUCACCCCACGUGGAUGAUUGCGCUUCUCAUAAUAAAGGAAUCAUCAUUGCUUGGUUUUCAUAGAGGAGCCAUCAUCAUAGGAUGCUUGAAGGGUGGACCCAGAUUAGUCCCAUUCCAAAAAAGCCCUACGUGGUUCUUUUUAAAGGGUUGACUUAAAUACACUUGGCCAAGACAACCAGUGAAAAGGCAUUAUUUUUGUGGAUACAAUCUGUUGCUGCUGUGUGGUGAAAUCACCAAGUGGCAACUGUCAUGACAGUUUUGAUACUUUCCAAGCCUGAUAUUUGGUCUGGUUAAAUUCAAUGUACGCUCUCUCAUUAAACAUACUGUAGCAUCUCUCUCUUCUGAUAGCGAUCAGUCAAUCCAUCCCGACAUAAUUGAUGUGCCCUUUUCGACGCCGACAACCAAUAGCUGAAAACAGGUUUCCAGGUGUGGUGGAAACUGAGGGUGGCUGUGAUUUGUGAAAAGCUUCACAGCAAAUACUUAAACACAUACUUUGUGUGAUAGGAACAAAAUAUUUGGUCUUGGGGUCUUGUAUAGACUUCCUGUAAGAUGUUGGAGUGUGUCUGUGGAAAUGUUUCACUCAUAAUCUAUGCUCGAGCUCAUCCUAAAGAUGUUUGAUGGGGUUGGGGUCAUGUUGUCCAACUCAUCCAAGCACAUCUUUAUGGAUCUUGCUUUGUGCACUGGGGCACAGUCAUGCUGAAACAGAAAAGGGCUUUCCCUACACUUUUUCCAUGAAGUUGGAAUCGUAUAUGUAACUGUCCAUAAUGUCUAACUGAGGAAGCCUCAGACUUACUGAUUGAUUGAGUGGUGUCCCCCAAGACGUUUGUCCACAUUGUGUAUCUCAUGAUUCGUCGCUGUUUGCUAGCUUUGAAGUGAGAAGCAUGCAGAAGGAAAGUGGUUGUCUCUGUGCUCACCCACACAUUCACAGUGAGGUGUUCCGCUAGUGGCUUUUGCUCAACUAGCCAUUAACUCCCUUUGACUGCCCACAGUAUUCAAACUAUAUGCCAGACUAUACUUGGACUUUAUUAGCCUAUUGGCUUGUUAGCUGUUGCUGCCGUAGAAGCGUCCCUUUGUAGCCCAGUUUUUCCUCAUUUGUAUUUGCCAAGCUGCAGUCAUCCUUCAAACUGGAAUAGCAGAAUUUACACAAAUGCAACACCACACCCUAGCAACAUCAAUGGCAUUGCAUUGUUGAACUAACACUCAUAGCCUGUGUUGAUUAUGAGGAAAACACCAAACCAAGGAAAUUAUAAUUUACAUACCACACUCUUGCAACAGCUCAGAGUAGUGUUUGUUGAAUGAGAGCUUGCAGUUCCUCCAUACAUCUAGUCAUAUUCAUUGAGAAGUACGGACUCAGCUGCAGUGACACAGUUAGCGAUGCAGACAGUGUUGGCAGUGAAGUUUUUGGCCUGCGGGAUUGGCUCUGACAGCCGGCCCUGUGGGCUUUUACAGUUUGAUGAAAGGACAAACAAUCGGGUUAGGGAGCAGGCACGCCACACUUAAAUGAACACGCGGCCACUGUAACAACAAAGACAUGGUGAAAGAUGAAUGUUUAAAGAGGGCGCACGACUGUGGAUGCAUUUCAUUGACAUGUCGUCAACCAUUCUUACUUGAAAAGACUGGGAAAGUUGAGGAAAUCUCGAGAAACACCAAUUUGGAACAUUCCACAGGUGAACGGGUUAAUUAGAAACAAGUGAGUGUCAUGAUUGGGUAUAAAAGGCGCAUCCCCGAAAGGCUCAGGUGUUCACAAGCAACGAUGGGGCAACGUUCAUCACUUUGUGAACAACUGCGUGAGCAAAUAGCCCAACAGUUUAAGAGUGUUUCUUAACGUACAAUUGCAAGGAAUUUAGGGAUUUCAUCAUCUACGGUCCAUAAUAUCAGCAAAAGGUUCAGAGAAUCUGGAGAAAUCACUGCAUGUAAGCGGCAAGGCCGAAAACCAACAUUGAAUGCCCGUGACCUUCGAUCCCUCAGGCGGCACUGCAUCAAAAACCGACAUCAAUGUGUAAAGGAUAUCACCACAUGGGCUCAGGAACACUUCAGAAAACCAAUGUCAGUAAAUACAGUUCGAUGAUCAUCCAAGAGUGGGGAUACUAAACUGGCCUGCCUGCAGUCCAGACCUGUCUCCCAUUGAAAAUAUGUGGCGCAACAUACGACAACACAGACCCCGGACUGUUGAGCGAGAGAAAUUGUGCAUCAAGCAAAAAUGGGAAAGAAUUCCACCUACAAAGCGUCAACAAAUAGUCUCUUCAGUUCCCAAAUGGUUAUUGAGUGUUGUUAAAAGAAAAGGUGAUGUAACACAGUGGUAAAGUUUAACAGAUUGAACAUUCAACAUCUUGUCUUUGUAGUGUAUUCAUUUGAAUAUAGUUUGAAAAGGAUUUGGAAAUCAUUGUAUUCUGUUUCCUUUGGAGUUUGUGUUUUGGAAGCGGUCCCCCUUUAACACACUCCUCCACUAACCCUUCCUCUACUUCCAGCCACUCCUCAGUGACGUGCUCACCUGAUGCUCAAGCUAAUUGUCCUCAUGUCCUCAACAGUCCAGAUGUCCCACUUGAGCCUGAUCUAUUUCAGCCUCAGUACUCGGCAGAAAUUUUGGUCAGAGUGCAACUUAAAAAUUCCUCCAAAGCCUCAUUACAGUAGAUGUAGCUCUUGCCAAGCCCCCUCCUGCUAUAAAUAAUCCCAGCCCAGUUCCCAUGGCCCCCCAACUGGUUCCUGCUGCUUAGCUAGCAAAGCGCAAAUGCUAGGCCUGCAUCUGAGAGGCAGGUCAUCUUUUCUACCAAAGACAUUUUGCAGUACAAAAGAAAUGAUUAUCUCAUGCAGUUUAUUGCUCUUUAUAACUUGCCCACCCAUUCCAACCACGAUAGUUAAAGAACAAUGCACUCUUCACACAUCUCCCUAGCUCAGAAGUUUGAAGAUCUAAGAAACUUUUUUUUUUUUUUUUUACCUUUUCUGACGUAGUGGUGGAAAUGACUUCACAGUGAAAUUUACACCAUGUUUUUUUUCUUUUCACCCACAGUUCAUGUCUACAAUGUUCAAGUAUUUAUAGAAUAUAUUUACAAUGGAAUUCCAUUCCUGACCUCCAACCACUCGGGGAUUACUCUCAGUUCUAAGUCUUUCAGUCUGGAUCUGGAGCUGAGAGAUGGAUACACAUUUUCGCAAGAGAUUGAGUGUUAGUUGUGAAAAAUGUGUUUUUGUAGUUUCGGUGAACUUUCAUGUGUAUAAUAUCCUUAUCUUGGAUCCAUGUCAUUAACAGUCAAAAAUUCCUUAAGAUGCAAUUUCAUGUAAAAUGUUGCAGCAUGGCUAUUUGGUACAGGCCUCGGUAAAAAUGUACCGGUAUAUUGUGAUCCUUUAUUAUAUUCUGUACAAUAAAAUUAGCCUGCGAUUGGCUGGCAACCAGUUCAGGGUGUACCCCGCCUCCCGACCAAAUAUAGCUCGGAUAAGCUCCAGCACGCCUGCGACCCUAGUGAGGAUAAGCGGUACAGAAAAUGAAAAAAUUAAUAAAAUUAGCUGCAUGUCACACAUGGUAAAUAAGGGAGCUUUAAUUUUUUUCUGUCAGUAUUUAGUAAGCACGAAGAAGGCUGACUUUGUGACCAAACAUACAGUUCACCCAUUUGUAUUUGAUUGUCAAGAUGAAUGUAUAAAUUAGGCAAUCACUACAUACUGAGCCAGAAUGGCCAAGGGGAUGCAGCAAACUAGAUGAAAAAUUACAUCAAGCAACCAAAGUAUUAACCCAAAAGUUGAUUACAGUUUGCUUCUGCUGCAGAUGCCAUUGAGACUUUCAAAAUACCUUUCAAGGAUCCUUAACACGGUUUAGGGGAUAAUUAAAAUUGGUUGCUUUGUAAUACAUUUUCAUUGUCAUAUUAUUUAACUACCAAACCUAUAUGUACAAGUUUAUUCCGAUGCAAAGUGAUUAGAUGACAGUUGUGUGUGUUCGAACCCUGCAGUCGUCAGCUGAAGCUCCUUUCACUCCCUUAAGAAAAUAUGUCCAGAUGCUCCCAUGAUGCCUCAGGACACUCAAAGGAAAUGCCAGGCAAGCCAAGAGGAAGAGCAGGAAGAGAUGGUGGAGAUGUAGUGAAAAGAUGUUUAUGUCCCUAGACUACAAAUCAUCUUUUACUCCUCUCUCCCAGUUGAUAAAACUGGGAACUAAUUGACCUCAUGUCUUCGUCCAAGAUCUAAGAGAAGGAAAAGGAAUGGAUAUGGGCAUCACCAUCUGACAACGAAGACAAAACAAGCGCUACUGUUGGCACUAAGCACUAAUCAUGGGGGCAGCAGCUUAAGCAGGGAAUCCCUGCCUUCCCUCUUCCCGACACUUCAUCCAGCUCUUCCAGGGGGAUCCCAAGGCGUUCCAAGGUCAGCUGGGAGACAUAGUCUCUCCAGCGUGUCCAGGACGCAUCCUAAUCAGAUGCCCGAGCCACCUCAUCUGGCUCCUCCCGAUGCAGAUGAGCAGCGGCUCAACUCUGAGCCCCUCCCGGAGCUUCUCACCCUGUCUCUAAAGGAGAGCCCAAACACCAGACAGAGGAAACUCAUCUCGGCCGCUUGUAUCCGGGAUCUUGUUCUUUUCGUCACGACCCACAGCGUGUAGCCAUAGGUGAGGGUGGGAACGUAGAUCGACUGGUAUAUCAAGAGCUCUGCCUUCAGCUCAGCUCCUUCUUCUCCAUGACAAACUGACACUGCUCCAUUCUUCUCUCACUCGUGUACAAGACCUCGAGAUACUUGAACUCCUCCACUUGGGACAGGAUCUCUUCCUCGAACUAGAGAGGACUCUGCACCCUUUUCUGACUGAGGACCAUGGCCUCAGAUUUGGAGGUGCUGAUUUUCAUCCCAAUUGCUUCACACUCUGCUGCCAACCGCUUCACUGAGAGUUGGAGAUCAUAGCUUGAUGAAGCCAACAGAACCACAUCUUCUGUAAAAAGCACAGACGCAAUACUAAGGUCACCUUACCCUCAACGGCUUGGCUGAACAUAGAUAUUCGGUCCGUAAAGAUGAACCGGUUCGAUGACAAUGGGGCGCCAUGGUGAAGUCCAACUCACACUAGAAAUUAAUCUAACUUCCUGCCGCCAAUGCGGCCCAAACUCUGACACUGGUCGUACAGGGACUGAACAGCCCAUAUUAAGCGGUCUGGUUCACCAUACUCCCAGAGACCAUCCACAGGACUCUCCAGGGGACACGGUCAAAUGCCAAGUCCACAAAGCACAUAUAGACUGGUUGGGCAAACUCCCAUCCACCCUCCAGAGCCCUUACGGGGAUAUAGAGUUGCUCCACCGUUCCAUGGCAAGGACGAAAACCACACUGUUCCUCCUGAAUCUUGGGUUCGACUUCUUGAAGAUUUUGAUUU